AACGAACGCUGGCGGCACGCCUAACACAUGCAAGUCGAACGAGAUCUUCGGGUCUAGUGGCGCACGGGUGCGUAACGCGUGGGAAUCUGCCCUUUGGUUCGGAAUAACAGUUGGAAACGACUGCUAAUACCGGAUGAUGACGAAAGUCCAAAGAUUUAUCGCCAGAGGAUGAGCCCGCGUAGGAUUAGCUAGUUGGUGUGGUAAAGGCGCACCAAGGCGACGAUCCUUAGCUGGUCUGAGAGGAUGAUCAGCCACACUGGGACUGAGACACGGCCCAGACUCCUACGGGAGGCAGCAGUGGGGAAUAUUGGACAAUGGGCGAAAGCCUGAUCCAGCAAUGCCGCGUGAGUGAUGAAGGCCUUAGGGUUGUAAAGCUCUUUUACCCGGGAUGAUAAUGACUGUACCGGGAGAAUAAGCUCCGGCUAACUCCGUGCCAGCAGCCGCCGUAA
rnacentral:rRNA from 1 species